rnacentral:lncRNA from 1 species
CUGAAUUUACCAAAUGAUGAAGCUCUCGUGAGGGAUCAUCAGGGAAGAUGACCAGAAUGUUUCAGGUCGUCUGAGUUUAGCCAGACACGUUGGACAAAUGAAAUGUUCUGAUUGGCCAGUUUGAAUUAGAUCUCGUGUUUCAUUUUUUUUAAACUCCACCGUGCGCCCCGGCCUGAGGAUUGUUGGAUCUACCACGUCAAUUAAUGAGGCCAUAUCCAACGCUCAGUGUUUUUUCUG